CAGGGCUUGAAACUGCAGGCUGUGGCACUGCAGAGGCUGACAGACUGGCAGCUGAAAUUAGCAGUGACUACAGAGUGGUGUUUCUGCAGUGGUGAUGGGAUGUCUCGUUCAAACAAGCAGUUGGUAAACAGCUUGGAGAUAUCCCUUGGACAAAAUCACAUGCAAAUGGAGGGAGUGGGCUCAGAUUGGAGAAUUUUGAAUGUUCAGCAUAUUAAGAGGAGGCCACAGAGCUGGUAGAGGUGGACCAUGACGGUAUUUCGAUGAACAGAAAAGAAGAACUCUGACAAGAAGCCAGUGUGAUGCCCCCAUUAAUUCAAAAAGGGAUUGUACAUGUUCUUUCUCUUUUCCACACUUGUAACAAGCAGCCUCAAAGUCCACAUGAAGAGUAGACAGCUUCCCACCACACCAGCCCCUCCACCUUAAAUUAAAUCACCAUCACAAUCUCUGAAGAUGAAGUCUAUCUGUUUGAGAGGCUACGGGGGACUCCCACAGUGCCUGCCCACACUCACUUGUUGAUGAUGUGACCAGCUCGCUAAACCUCUCAUCCACAACAUUAUUUUGGUGGUGCAUGGUUGGCAUGGGUGUUCAUCCAAUGUUUACAGUCUAUACAGCUGCAAAUAUAUCUUCACUUGCACUUCACACAAGGUUACUGUAGUCUCA